UUUUUACAUCCAGAGAGCAUUUUCAUUUCUUAUGAACGUCCGAUCGCCGUAAACCCGGGGCCGCGUGCUCAGCGCCGUCGCAGGUUUGAUCGGUUUCGCUGAUUCUCGCCGGCCAUGAACCUCGCGCCUCCGCCGCCGCCGGCGAUGCCGCCGCCGAACUGGUACCCGAUGCUGCCGCCCAAUCCGCCGCCGUCGAGCGCGCUCUGGAACGGCGCGAACGUCCGCGACCGAGUUCGAGAGUUGCAGGAGACGCUCGCGCGAGCGAAAGCAAUGCGGAGGGAGCUGCAGCUGCUGGGGGCGAUCAAGGAAUCCGAAGCGCGCGGCGAUGGAGGUGUCGAAAACGGGACUUGGAGCGGUCCUGCGCGCGAGUUGUUGAGGCAUGUCGAGGACGAGGGCGUUGGCUUGGAGCUGCAAGAGAUGCGCUCGCUGGAAGCUGCGAGCUCUCUGAUUUUGAAAUUGAGCGCCCAGCUCGAGCCGUUCAGAGCCGUCGCGGAUGAGGCGAGCCCUUGGGAGGAGAAAUCCGCGGUGCAUAGAUUGUCGAGCAAGCUGUCCAAGUCGAGGCGGAAUAAGCUCUGGAGGAAGAGGAAGAGGCGGCGCGUUGCGGAGCAGCAAUUGAAGGAGCGCGAACGGUUUGACCAAGCUGAUCAGGAUGCGGAUGAGUGGAGAGCAAGGGAGAUUGCCAAGGAUAUUGCGAGACGCAAGAUAGAAAAGAUGAAGGAAAUAGCGAAGCUUAAAGCAAAAGAGGAAAGGAGGAGGCUAGAAUCCGAGCUAGAGCUUGUCUUGAUUGUGGAGAAAUUGCAGGAGCUACGGUCAAUGAGGGUUAGAAAACUGAAGAAGCAGGGACAUUUUCUCCCAGAGGAGGAUAAUGAGUUUCUUGAGAGAGUUCGAGUUGCUGUUGAGGAAGAAGAGAGCCAGGCUCGGAUUGCGGCUGAUGCAGAUGCUGCAAGAGAUGCCAUUGCGACUGCCGAAGAAUCUCGCAAAACAGCUGAUGCUACUGAGUCUGACCUGAAAGAUCAAAAUGAUGUCACACAUCAAAAGCUUGAAAACAAAGAUGAAAUCACUGAUGAGGAAGGCAACAUUACCUCUUUGACGGGCAGUCAUAAUGAAUAUAAGAAAGAAGCACCAGAUGGGAAAACUCAUAUUGGAUCUUAUGAUGCCUUGGCAAAUCUUCCAAUUGAGUUCUAUCAUUACUAUCAUGGCAGUAACACUGAUAUGGGGACUCUAAUAGAGGUCAGAAGAACAUGGGAUGUGUAUCUAAGAAGGGGAGGAAGCCGCAUACCUGGGCACUGGGUUCAACCACCACCUCCUGCAGAUGAAGUGUGGGCUUCCUACUUGGUGAAACCAAACUAAGGGAUUUUGGCUUGCAACUCAAUUCUGUUGGUACUUUUUUCUCUCUCAAAUGAGUUCAGGAAUCUGAUAGUGGAGCAUAUGGCAGACAAAUUUGUCACUAGCAUAUAUAUCAUGCUGCCUGAAGUAUUGGUAUCUAAGUUUGUUCUCCAGUGGCGAUGAAGGUUUUAUUAUAAGGUUUGCCUGCUGGAAACUGCAGCUGCUGCUCGGACAGAUCCAACAACUCUUCUUUCGGAUGAUCCGUAUCAAAACAGACAAUGCACAAGCUGAAUAUGUUCAUUCCCAAACAAGUUGCUGCCAAGCUAUCAAGCUUCAGACAGACAAUUGUGGGUCGAUGUUGUGACUCUUGUCUACCAUCCAUGCUUCCAUCUCUUAGAAUAUUCUUGGCAGCAAAAAAAAAGGCAGUCAUGGAAUGUCAGAAAAAGGGAAUGCCAGGACAAGUUGCCAAAAAAGUUUUUACGAUGCUUUCUAACAUCUGAAACUUACUUGUUCUGCUUUUCCCCCUAUUUGACUGAAAUUGUAUCAAAUGUACUUUUAAGAGGUUAAAACUACUAGUUUGGGGUCUUAAAUGUGAAAGCCGGUCUGAGCAGAGCAGCUAGUCGUAAAUGGGCGAUAUGUCAUGACUUGCCCAAUCCUGCUCAUUUGUCGGGGCAGCGAAAGCAUAUGAGUAUUUGGAAAGAUCCCAACUUUGGAGAAGCUGGACCUAAAAGCAGAAGUGGGAAAGCCUGACAUAAGUUGAUCCUAGAGCCUGUUUUGUGAUCGAUUGCGCUUAGCACCUGAAAUUUGUAUCAGAUGAUGAGGCGCUUGGGGAUCUGAGAAGGGCAAACUUGAUUACUUCGUUACGACUGGGUGUCACUUGUAAUCUUAUAUUCUUCUCUGCCUUCAUUAAUAGCUGGGUCUUUCGAUGUUGUUACUGUAUGCAGUGAUUGGUGUAGUUCUCUUGGUGACCCUCUCCAGACCAUUUGCGAUAA